rnacentral:rRNA from 1 species
AACUGAUCCAGCCAUGCCGCGUGAGUGAAGAAGGCCUUCGGGUUGUAAAGCUCUUUCGGACGGGAAGAAAUCAUGAGGGCUAAUAUCCCUUGUGGAUGACGGUACCGUAAUAAGAAGCACCGGCUAACUACGUGCCAGCAGCCGCGGUAAUACGUAGGGUGCGAGCGUUAAUCGGAAUUACUGGGCGUAAAGCGUGCGCAGGCGGUUUUGUAAGACAGGCGUGAAAUCCCCGGGCUCAACCUGGGAACUGCGCUUGUGACUGCAUCACUUGAGUACGGCAGAGGGGGGUGGAAUUCCACGUGUAGCAGUGAAAUGCGUAGAGAUGUGGAGGAACACCGAUGGCGAAGGCAGCCCCCUGGGUCGAUACUGACGCUCAUGCACGAAAGCGUGGGUAGCAAACAGGAUUAGAUACCCUGGUAGUCCACGCCCUAAACGAUGUCAACUAGGUGUUGGGUGGGUAAAACCAUUUAGUACCGUAGCUAACGCGUGAAGUUGACCGCCUGGGGAGUACGGCCGCAAGGUUAAAACUCAAAGGAAUUGACGGAGACCCGAACAAGCGGUGGAUGAUGUGGAUUAGUUCGAUGCAACGCGAAAAAC